GACGAACGCUGGCGGCGUGCUUAACACAUGCAAGUCGAACGGAAAGGCCCUGCUUUUGUGGGGUGCUCGAGUGGCGAACGGGUGAGUAACACGUGAGUAACCUGCCCUUGACUUUGGGAUAACUUCAGGAAACUGGGGCUAAUACCGGAUAGGAGCUCCUGCUGCAUGGUGGGGGUUGGAAAGUUUCGGCGGUUGGGGAUGGACUCGCGGCUUAUCAGCUUGUUGGUGGGGUAGUGGCUUACCAAGGCUUUGACGGGUAGCCGGCCUGAGAGGGUGACCGGCCACAUUGGGACUGAGAUACGGCCCAGACUCCUACGGGAGGCAGCAGUGGGGAAUAUUGCACGAUGGGCGGAAGCCUGAUGCAGCAACGCCGCGUGCGGGAUGACGGCCUUCGGGUUGUAAACCGCUUUCGCCUGUGACGAAGCGUGAGGGACGGUAAUGGGUAAAGAAGCACCGGCUAACUACGU
rnacentral:rRNA from 1 species